GCGCAUCACUAGGAUGUUACACAAAUUCUUUUUUGUUUGAAAAAUGUUCCAGAGAUAAAAGUGCAAAAGAAGAUAAUGAAGUGUUCUAAUAUGAAAUAUUCAAAACUGAAGCAUGAUUGUCUGCUUAAGACACUUCCCAAGUAUACAGGAUUAAUAUUUCUUUUCUCACAGCUGGCGCGGAGAUCUCCACCGUGAACCCAGAACAGUAUUCAAAGCGCUUUUUGGACUUUAUUGGCCACAUCUUGACGUAACCUCCUGCGCAGCCUCGGACAGACAUGAACAUUGGAUGGACAGAGGUGGCUUCGGUGUAGGAAAAAUGAAAACCAAACUCAGUGAAGUACUCAUCUUGCAGGAAGCAAACCUCCUUGUUUACAUCUUCAGGCCAAGAUGACUGAUUUGGGGGCUACUCGCUUUACAGCUACCUGAUUUUCCCAGCAUCGUUCUAGCUAUUUCUGACUUUGUGUAUAUGUGUGUGUGUGUGUGUUGGGGGGGGGUGAGUGUGUGCGCGCGUGUGCAUUUUAAAAGUCAUAAAUUAAUUAAAACAGAUCCACUUCGGUCA
rnacentral:lncRNA from 1 species